rnacentral:lncRNA from 1 species
AAGAUUAUGAAUGAACUCAGAUUCUUAUUGUUCAUCGUCUUCUUCUUUUUCUAUGUAAUCGACAAAUCAGUAAACAUAUGUGGUUGGAGACGAGCGAAGAAAAAGGUGUUUGACUCUUUGUAGAUGAUGUUUCUUGGGGACAAAUUGUAUAUUCUCACGCUGGGCUUCGCCUGUCACGAUCAUCUCCCAAAACCUUCGC